CCAAAACCCCUAACACGUUCUUGAUCUUGGCUUGUGGUCCCUACAAAACAGGAUUACCGAAGCUUGUUCUGCCAUACAUACAAAGCAGUUGGACCAUGGACAUCCGACACGGCACAGAACUACCAGGGUUGAAAGACGCGAUGAUGACUUACGUGUCUGGGCAGUUUUCCUUGUGUCGCCUGUGGUCCAGGUCCGGCGAGGCUCUGCUCC